rnacentral:lncRNA from 1 species
AUGGAUGUGAGCCUAGGGAGACUUCACUUGUGUUUGUACAGUACGUUGUACUUACGAAGCGCUGAUCCAGAAUGCUCGAAGAAGCCAUCCGGAAGGAAGAAAGAUUAUGAGUAUCUAGGAACUAGCUGUUUGACAGAGACAGAAAUGCUGAUAAUGAGUGGGUUGUGUCUGUCGUUUUUGGCUGAUCACAACAGAGGUCUGAAGCAAAACAGAAACUCUUGAUAUGUUUGUGUAAAGAGGCAGUAGCAUAAGCACGGGCAGCAGGAGUUCAGCUGAAGUUCAGGGCAGAUGCUGCUAUUAGUUUACACUGCAGGAAAGU